CCCGGACCAGUCCCGCCUAUUACACCCGCUAAAGUGGAAACGGCCGUCAAGAAGAUGAAAAAUGGAAAAACAACCGGACCAGACGAUAUCCCAACUGAAGUCUGGAAGCUUCUCGGGCGACCGGGAACGACCAUCCUGAUAGAAGUGUUUAACAACAUUGUCAGCACAGGGGAAGUCCCGAAGAUCUGGACAACUAGCAUUACCAUACCCAUAUGGAAGAACAAAGGGGAUGUAGCCGAAUGCUCAAAUUAUUGUCCUAUCCGCCUACUAUGUCACACGACGAAAAUAUUCGAAAGAGUCAUCGAUGCACGUCUUCGGGAAAUUGUCAAUGUCACCCCCAACCAUUGCGGUUUCGUAAAGGGAUGUGGAACAACUGACGCCAUACACGCCGCCCGACUCCUGCUGGAGAAGCACAGGGAAAAGAACAAGACUGUGAAACUGCAAUUGAAAUCGCCAGCAAACAGGGACAGAAAAGAAAAGACUUGUGGUCGCUGCGGAAUGCAACAUCCUCCUAAAAAAUGUCCAGCAUAUGGGAAAAGAUGCAAUAAUUGUAACAAAAAUAACCAUUAUGCUGGGUGCUGCAAAGCUCAAACCCCGAAACAAAGUACAGUCCAUACUGUGGAUGAAGAAGACACAGAGGAACUCUAUGUAGCUGCAGUGACAGACAAUAAGACAGGUGAAAAGGACUGGAUAAUGACACUCAAAGUGAAUGACACACUCAUGAAAGUCAAGCUGGAUACUGGAGCUCAAGUGAAUGUGAUAUCAGAAGCAGAGUUCAAGAAAAUCAGACCUAGACCUAAAAUACAUGCAACAAAGGUGAAAGUGAGUGGAUACUCAGGUGCAGAAAUACCUGUGAAAGGAAAAUGCAUGGUUAAAGUAACACACAAAGACAAGGAGCACAGGCUAACAUUCAGUGUGGUGCCGAAGACUGUGCAGCCUAUACUAGGGUUACAUGACUGUGACAGUCUGAACCUAGUGAAAAGAGUGCUCGUUGUGGAAACGGAUGAUGACAUGGACUAUAAUGAGUUGAUGAAGGAAUAUGGUGACCUAUUUCAGGGACUUGGUUGCCUUGCUGGAG
rnacentral:lncRNA from 1 species